rnacentral:rRNA from 1 species
UACGAAGGGGGCUAGCGUUGCUCGGAAUCACUGGGCGUAAAGCGCACGUAGGCGGAUUGUUAAGUCAGGGGUGAAAUCCUGGAGCUCAACUCCAGAACUGCCUUUGAUACUGGCGAUCUUGAGUCCGGGAGAGGUGAGUGGAACUGCGAGUGUAGAGGUGAAAUUCGUAGAUAUUCGCAAGAACACCAGUGGCGAAGGCGGCCUCCUGGUCCGGCUCUGACGCUGAGGCGCGAAAGCGUGGGGAGCAAACAGG